rnacentral:tRNA from 1 species
GGGGAUUUAGCUCAGUGGUAGAGCGCUUGCCUAGCAAGCGCAAGGCCCUGGGUUCGGUCCCAAACUCCG